GUGCUAGCUUCGGCAGCACAUAUACUAAAAAAUUGGAACGAUACAGAAAAGAUUAGCAUGGCCCCUGGCCAAGGAUGACAUGCAAAUUCGUGAAGCAUUCCAUAUUUUU
rnacentral:snRNA from 1 species